CACAUGCAAGUCGAACGAUGAACCCCAGCUUGCUGGGGGGAUUAGUGGCGAACGGGUGAGUAACACGUGAGUAACCUGCCCCUGACUCUGGGAUAAGCGCUGGAAACGGCGUCUAAUACCGGAUAUGACAGCCGACGGCAUCGUCUGGUUGUGGAAAGAUUUUUCGGUUGGGGAUGGACUCGCGGCCUAUCAGGUUGUUGGUGAGGUAAUGGCUCACCAAGCCUACGACGGGUAGCCGGCCUGAGAGGGUGACCGGCCACACUGGGACUGAGACACGGCCCAGACUCCUACGGGAGGCAGCAGUGGGGAAUAUUGCACAAUGGGCGCAAGCCUGAUGCAGCAACGCCGCGUGAGGGAUGACGGCCUUCGGGUUGUAAACCUCUUUUAGUAGGGAAGAAGCGUAAGUGACGGUACCUGCAGAAAAAGCACCGGCUAACUACGUACCA
rnacentral:rRNA from 1 species